NUAAAUGAAGCAGAGCGUACGG
rnacentral:rRNA from 1 species